rnacentral:lncRNA from 1 species
GCUUCUCUUCCUCCGCCGGAGCAUCCGCCGUCACCGGUGCUUCCUCCUCUGCAACUGGCUCUGCUGGUUUUUCGUCUGUUCCUUUUUCUUCUGGUUCUGCCUCGGGCUUGGCUUCUUCUUCAACGACUUCUUUGGUUUCCGGUUCGGGUUCGGGUUCGGGGACAGAUUCGGGUUCUAGGGCCGCGGCGGCUGGUUCUUCCGGCUCGCUAGCUGGAGCUUCCUCCGCUGGUGCUUCUGGCUCUUGAACGGCUUCUACCUCAGCUGGCGCCGCAGCCACUGGCUCUUCUGGUGUGGUUUUCUCUUCAGCCACUGGCUUGGUUGCCGGUGGCGCCUCGCUCUCUGGUAAUGUUGUGGGAGCUGAUUCAACCUGCAAUAUCCGAUCUCUCUUUUAUUAAUAUAAUUUUUGGAGUACAGUGAUAUACAUAUAUAUAUCAAUCAUAUAAUAUAAUAAACAACAAACCAGCUCGAUGAAACAAACAAGCUCACUGUAGUAUAAUUCAGUGAGCUAUAGGAUCUUGAAAAGUAUAUAAUCAGAGCUUUGUUCUGUGUGUGGGUAUACGUGUGUAUAUGCACGCACACGAUUCAGAUCCUUUAAGAAAGAACAGAUUGCAAAAAUGAUUUUUGUGCCAAAACCAAAUGAUGGAAGUAGACAAGAGAUCAUGAUCUUCUCGAUGUUAAUAUUGAUCAUAUUUUGAUAUUAUCAUGAACUCAACAUACAUAUAUAUAUAUAUAUAUAUAUAUAAUGAUCUAUAUCUAAACAAUGAAGCUAGAUCCAUCAAAUAAGAACUAAAAUUUUUACAUCAGAGAACCAGUAAUGUUUAAACCCUAGCCUAUCCUUGAGGAGGCUAAGAGUGAAAAUUUUCACAAGAGAAACUUCUUCUCUAUACUGGUUUUCCUUCAUAAUUAUGCUACACAUACAUACAUACAUACAUAUACAGAGACAAUACAUAUAUGUAUAGGUAUGUAAAUACUCAUCAGGCAUGACUAAAAAAAAAAAAAAAACAAACGAAAGAGAAGAGAGAAGCAACUAAAACUACUACACGUUUUGUUUAAAACUGAUAACAUGAAAAUAUAUGUAUAUAUACAUGAUUAUUUUGAAGUAGACCCAGGUGAAAUUUUGUAUCAAUGAAUCAAAGAGAAGAAAGUCAGAGAAUCUGGAAACAUCAAACAAGCAUGAUCAGCAUCUGGGUCAAAAAGCUUAUAAAAACCAGCAUGAAGAUGAUCACGAUGAUCGCUAUAAAACCGCACAGCAAACCUAACUAGUUUACAUACAUAUAUAUAUAUAUAUAUAUAUAUAUACAUAUGUAUCACUUGUUUUGUUUUAGGUAAUUGUUACCUCAACACUGGCCAUUUGUAGAGCAACAAAAACAAAAGCUUCUUCGCUGAAGAUCUGCGAGAGAGAUAUAUCAAGAGAGGAGAUCAAAGAGGGUUGUGAAGAGAAAGAUGGGUGUGAGAGCUAUAUAUAUA